rnacentral:snoRNA from 1 species
ACAACCCAUUUAGAGAAUCCCAAAAUUGAUCUAAAGUAAAUCACAAGGUAAAAAUCUUCCCUGGGUUCAGAAUUUGUAGUAAUAGAUGUGAACAUGAUGGAAGCUAUUUGAUGAACAUGUGUGAUACUGAAAACAGGA